CUGAGAAGAUCUAUAAGAUUCAGAAGGAAUUGGAAGAAAAACGAAGGACCAGGCUGCAGAAGCAAAGCAUGAUACCAAAUGCACCGGGCAUGCCCCAGGCUCCCAUGAAUCAAGGGCCCAACAUGGGACAGCCCCAACCAGGGAUGUCUGCAACUCUGGAGGACUGUUUGAGAGACAUGAACCUGAAGGAUCACUGAUGCUAGUGAUAUCUGCCAAUCAAGUUGCAUGCAGCAGGAUUUGAGAGGUCACUGACACCCUCAAUCUGUAAUUAGGAUAUUGCCCCAAUGACUACCCAGAAUACGCUGUGUGGUUAGCACUGAUAAUGACUCUCCUUUGCAAUUAGAAUGGCAGGCCGUAGCCUCAUUUUAGAGUCUUUGGAUUGUCUGAAACAGCAAUCCAUAUAGUUUUAUAACAUACAUAAGACUUUGAACUAAGCUUUUUCUUGCUACUUGACUUUAGGCUGCAACUAACACUUUACUCUAUAUGUGCAAGACGGGAACUGUGCAUUUAUUUACUUACUUUUUACAGUGUGAACAGAAUGAAGGUGAUAUAAAAAAAAUAGAAUGAGAAGUAGAACAAACUCCAGGGAACAUACCUUCUUCAUAAAAGAGAAUCAUUGCCAGAAACAUACUGAGAGACACUUGCUUCUUGGCUGUUCUUGACAGUGAGCUGGGAUGAGGGAUGUUGCUAGGAACAAGGCUAAGAUCACAGUAGUUUCCUGGAGGGGGAAGCCAAGAGGGACAGAAGCCAUUGCACUAUAAAGAAGCUAUGAUAUAAACGCAUACAAAUGUUAAAACCAAUUGCAGAGCACAGUAAGCACUUCAAGAGCCCUGUUGCAUAGGGAAUGCUUUCUUUCCUAAAUAAAAUAUCUAUUUAUGUAUGAAAUCUCUGAAAUUGAUCAUUUGAGGACAUGGGGAGCAGCUUAAUUAACACAUGUAGAUCAUUUACCCUGUGGUGCUUUAACACAACAGCUUUGGCAUUGCUCUGGACUUCCGUUUCCUAAUGCAGAUGUGGGCAGCACCGCAGGGUGAUUAAACAUGCGGAUCUACCAAAGGGAAGAAAACGAUGCAAGCCCAGCUGCCUGCUAAGAAGAGCUAAUAGUGUUUUAUGAAGUGUCAAAGAAGGCAUAACCUGUGCAACUCAAGUGCCAUCCACCCUUGGCUCACUGGGAUCCCCUGACGAUUUCCCAGUCUGAGUGACAUGCUGAUUGUGGCCCUGUGGACAGGGACAAAGGAGUUGCUAAUGUGACAUUCAGUACGUGCUACGGCAAAGGCUCCGCAUGUGCCUACAGAGGAAACAUGCAAGAGCGGGACAGUGGAGGGGCUUGUGGAUGCUGGAACCCCUUUAAUCAGCUGCUGAGCAGGCCCUGGGGAGGCAGCCAGGCUGUGCUCGGCAGUGCACACCGCUCAGGGACAGGCCUCAGGCAUGCUGCGCUGAGGACUGUGCAGCAAGAUGCACUGCGUGGGCCAAGGAACCAGCUGCUCCUCCUAAGGGGGAUAGCAUGUUGCAUUCGUUUUCAGGGCUUGGUUGAGGAUUGUUUAUUUUUACCACAGGAAGGGUCAGUUUAAAUGUAAAUCACAGACACUCUGCCCGAGGGAUGUGGAGUGCUAUAAGCAGUGACCUCAGAAAAUUGUUUCUUCGCUUCUGGUACUUUUAUACAAGUCUAGCAUAGUUGCAGCUUCAAACUCGAGAAAAUAUGUAAAGACUAAAGCACAGACAGACCAAAACUCCCAACUGAAUUUGCACUUGUAACUCUCCCCUUUUCCCCAACUUGUGGAAGGUAUUUUGGGAAGUCGGCUACAUGACGAGAGACAUGAAGACACGGCUGCAAGAACUGCUUGGAUGUAACUGUGUGUCAGAAGGCAAUGUGAAACGCGCCUGGGUCACGUGGAUUUGGGGAAGUGUCUGGUUGAGCGGAUGUGGGGUUGAGGCUAGGUUUUGUAUCAGCAAAAAUGCCGGUACAAACAGGCUGACCGCAUCUGGCUGUCGGGCAUGAUAAGUAACUAAUGUUAGCAACCUAUAAGGAGCUUGGCUGUUGCAAUAUGUAUGAGCUAAUUAACUCUAUUAUAUAAGUCAUGAAAAUGUGCAAAUAAACUGAGGCUUGUGAUCAUCA